UCUCUCCUCCUCCUCCUCCUCCACCUCCGCCUCC
rnacentral:sRNA from 1 species